CAGAGUUGCAAAACUCCCCAAACCAUCGUGAACCUUUACCGCUAAACAGUUUGCUUCGGCGGGUGGCCAGGGGGGCGCGCGCGCAAGCCCGCCCCCGGCCGCCGAGCCCGCCGGAGGAAUCCAAAAAAACCAUCGCUUUCAGUACCGGCCCUCUCUGAGUUACUGUACUUUUAAUUAAGUCA
rnacentral:misc_RNA from 1 species